rnacentral:rRNA from 1 species
UACGAAGGGGGCUAGCGUUGUUCGAAAUUACUGGGCGUAAAGCGCACGUAGGCGGAUCUUUAAGUCAGGGGUGAAAUCCCGAGGCUCAACCUCGGAACUGCCUUUGAUACUGGGGAUAUCGAGUCCGGGAGAGGUGAGUGGAACUGCGAGUGUAGAGGUGAAAUUCGUAGAUAUUCGCAAGAACACCAGUGGCGAAGGCGGCUCACUGGCCCGGUACUGACGCUGAGGAGCGAAAGCGUGGGGAGCGAACAGG